CACGUAGGGCGCAAGCGUUGUCCGGAAUUAUUGGGCGUAAAGAGCUCGUAGGCGGUCCGUCACGUCCGCUGUGAAAACCCAGGGCUCAACCCUGGGCUUGCAGUGGAUACGGGCAGACUAGAGGUAGGUAGGGGAGACUGGAAUUCCUGGUGUAGCGGUGAAAUGCGCAGAUAUCAGGAGGAACACCGGUGGCGAAGGCGGGUCUCUGGGCAGUAACUGACGCUGAGGAGCGAAAGCGUGGGGAGCGAACAGG
rnacentral:rRNA from 1 species